CAGAGAAGUCGAUGAUGGUUUACCUACAUGUCUGAACCUGUCUGAUGCACCUCAGUGAUGUCAUCUCUGUGUGGUUCUGAGACUUCUCUGACG
rnacentral:snoRNA from 1 species